rnacentral:rRNA from 1 species
AAACUAACAAGGAUUCCCCUAGUAGCGGCGAGCGAAGCGGGAAAAGCUCAAAUUUGUAAUCUGGCGUCUACGACGUCCCGAGUUGUAAUCUCGAGAAGUGUUUUCCGUGAUAGACCGCAUACAAGUCUCUUGGAACAGAGCGUCAUAGUGGUGAGAACCCAGUACACGAUGCGGAUGCCUAUUACUUUGUGAUACACUUUCGAAGAGUCGAGUUGUUUGGGAAUGCAGCUCAAAUUGGGUGGUAAAUUCCAUCUAAAGCUAAAUAUUGGCGAGAGACCGAUAGCGAACAAGUACCGUGAGGGAAAGAUGAAAAGCACUUUGGAAAGAGAGUUAACAGUACGUGAAAUUGUUGGAAGGGAAACACAUGCAGCCAGACUUGCUAUUCGGGGCAACUCGAUUGGCAGGCCCGCAUCAGUUUUUCGGGGCGGAAAAGCAUAGAGAGAAGGUAGCAAUUUCGGUUGUGUUAUAGCUCUUUAUUGGAUUCGCCCUGGGGGACUGAGGAACGCAGCGUGCUUUUAGCAUAAGCUUCGGCUUAUCCACGCUUAGGAUGCGGUGUAAUGGCUGUAUAUGAC